UAGCCUAGGUGACAGAGCAAGACUCUGUCUCAAAAAAAAAAAAGUUAAAUUUGAGGGGAGGCACACCAGGUCUAAGAGAGGCACCGCGUGUGAGCUGCUGGUGGGGUGGUCAGCGCAAUGCCCAAGGCCAAGGGCAAGACCUGGAGGCAGAAGUUUGGUUACAAUGUCAACCAAAAGCGUCUGAACUGGAAUGCUGGACGGAAGGCAGCGCCGCGGAUCGAGUGCUCCCACAUCCGACAUGCCUGGGACCACGCUAAAUCGGUGCGGCAGAACCUGGCCAAGAUGGGGUUGGCUGUGGACCCCAACAAGGCGGUGCCCCUCUGUAAGAGAAAGGUGAAGGCCACGCAGGUGGACACAGAGGAGAGGCUGAAAGAGCUUGUGCGGAAGCCCUAUGUGCUGAAUGACCUGGAAGCGGAAGCCAGCCUUCCAGAAAAGGAAGGAAAUACUCUGUCUUGGGACCUCAUUGACUACAUAUGCUACAUGGUGGAGAACCACGGGGAGGACUAUAAGGCCAUGGCCCCCGAUGAGAAGAAUUACUAUCAAGAUACCCCAAAACAGAUUCAGAAUAAGAUCAAUGUCUAUAAACGUUUUUACCCAGCAGAGUGGCAAGACUUCCUCAAUUCUUUGCAGAAGAAUGGGAUGGAGCUUGAUUUGAGUGACUGGUUUACAUCACACCUGCCCCAGGCUGAGGCCUCUCCCUGGAUCAAGGAAGACACCUGAAGCUGGAGCCAGGGUGUAAGGCAAGGAGGGCUGUGUGUCUUCAGAGGGGCUGGCCGGAUCCCGUGGAAUCGGAA